GACGAACGCUGGCGGCGUGCUUAACACAUGCAAGUCGAACGGAAAGGCCCUGCUUUUGUGGGGUGCUCGAGUGGCGAACGGGUGAGUAACACGUGAGUAACCUGCCCUUGACUUUGGGAUAACUUCAGGAAACUGGGGCUAAUACCGGAUAGGUGCUCCUGCUGCAUGGUGGGGGCUGGAAAGUUUCGGCGGUUGGGGAUGGACUCGCGGCUUAUCAGCUUGUUGGUGGGGUAGUGGCUUACCAAGGCUUUGACGGGUAGCCGGCCUGCGAGGGUGACCGGCCACAUUGGGACUGGGAUACGGCCCAGACUCCUACGGGAGGCAGCAGUGGGGAAUAGUGCACAAUGGGCGGAAGCCUGAUGCAGCAACGCCGCGUGCGGUAUGACGGCCUUCGGGUUGUAAACCGCUUUCGCCUGUGACGAAGCGUUAGUGACGGUAAUGGGUAAAGAAGCACCGGCUAACUACGUG
rnacentral:rRNA from 1 species